rnacentral:lncRNA from 1 species
AUCCCGGGCGGCGCGGGACUGUCGCGGAGGGAUCGGCCGGGCAGCCGCUUUUCCUCUCCGUGUCGCGAGGUGUCGGUUGUUGCCUGUCGCUUCCAGGUGGAUCCUAAAAUGUAGCAUUUCGUUGCGUGCAGGCAUCUUUAUUUGGUUCAUGUACCAUAACUUCUGUGUUUUUUGCGGGUUUUAUUCUUCUUGUCAAGGAAGUGUUUCUUUCAGUUAGUGUCCCCAGUAGAUAAUUUUUAAGGACUGGUUGUGUCAGUUAGGAGUGGAAAUUAAGUAUAAACAGAUUGCCUGAACUUGGUUUAAAAACACUUGUCAUUAAAAAUUAAGUGGAAAUCGAACUGCUGGAAGUAAAGUUGGUGGUUUAUCUUCGUGUAGAUUUGCUUGAUCAUUUUCGAGGAGAGAAGGAGAAGUAGAAAAAGUAUUCAGGAGAGAAUUUGGAGAGAAGGAAAAAAUCACGUGAGAGGUUUGCAGCGGAAAAAGAUUGUGUUUGUUUCUUGAAUACAGGCUGGAGAACAGUGCGUUCUGCAUCAGAUAUAUCAGAACUUUGUGGAAUCACUUCAGGAACUGCAGCUGAGCUGGUUGUGAUCAAAGCCUGCUUCUCUACUCCUGCUGUCAGUGUGGAAGAUGAGUUUGCUCUGUUUGAAUGAAAACAGUAAAGCCAAAGAGGUAUUUAGUGUUUGAUGCUUAUUUUUAGUCUGUGUUUCAAGAUCUUUGAUUUAGGUAUUUUCAGAGAUCUGUGUCUUAUAUAGAUGGUGCAACACGGAACUUCUAUAGAAAUGUUUUAAUAUGAAUUCUUAAAAAAAAAAGUAUCUUUAACAAUAAGAACUCUGCCCUACCUUUGAGAUACAUGUGACUAAUACCAGAUAGACAUACAGUGUGUAGAACUUCUCACAAUGCCUACAUUUCCCAGCCAGUAAUUCCCACUAGAAGUCAGUGGAUCUUAAAAUGGUUUUGAAAAGGAUAUCUAAGUACCACACAUGAUUUUGAAAAUAAAUCAAAUAAUCACAGGUGUGUUGUCA